UAGAUACCCUGGUAGUCCACACGGUAAACGAUGAAUACUCGCUGUUUGCGAUAUACAGUAAGCGGCCAAGCGAAAGCGUUAAGUAUUCCACCUGGGGAGUACGCCGGCAACGGUGAAACUCAAAGGAAUUGACGGGGGCCCGCACAAGCGGAGGAACAUGUGGUUUAAUUCGAUGAUACGCGAGGAACCUUACCCGGGCUUGAAUUGCAACCGAAUUACCUUGAAAGAGGUAAGCCGCAAGGCGGUUGUG
rnacentral:rRNA from 1 species